AUUUUCACCUUCCGUAUCUUCUCCUUCAGAGUUCUCACUAUGUUUUUCCUGAUCUCUACCCUACAUUUCACGUUGACAAAGAACAGUGAGUGGGAAAUAGAUUGGUGCUCAAUAAUAAUUUCUUGAGUCUUCUGUCAAAUUUCCUCAGGAUUCACUGAAUUGAACGUGUUCACAAAAGCAAUAACAGCAAAGUAAAAGUGGUUGGAACCAGGAAGUGCUGAGGGUGAACAUGGAUUCCAGACAGCAGGGAGAGAGUUGGACCAAGGAGGAGGAAUUAUCUCGGAAGUGGAGGAUUAGCGAUGAGCUUGGUAAUGACCUGUCACUAACAAAUGGUGUCCAAUCGACUGAAAAAUCCAACAUCCUUUUACCAGAAAUAGUGGAGGCCAUUAAACCGA